GGAGAGGUGGCUGAGUGGUCGAAAGCAGCGGUUUGCUAAACCGUCGUACUGGGAAACCGGUACCGGGGGUUCGAAUCCCCCCCUCUCCGCCA
rnacentral:tRNA from 1 species